AUCCUGGCUCAGGAUGAACGCUGGCGGCGUGCCUAACACAGUUCAAGUCGAACGGGCGGAGGGGAGCUUGCUCCCCGAGCUAGUGGCGGACGGGUGAGUAACGCGUGAGUAACCUGCCUUUUUUCGGGGGAUAACACGGGGAAACCGGUGCUAAUACCGCAUAACGUGCCGAAGUCGCAUGGCUUUGGUACCAAAGGAGCAAUCCGAGGAAAGAUGGGCUCGCGUCUGAUUAGAUAGUUGUGGGUAACGGCUACCCAAGUCGACGAUCAGUAGCCGGACUGAGAGGUUGAACGGCCACAUUGGAACUGAGAUACGGUCCAGACUCCUACGGGAGGCAGCAGUGGGGAAUAUUGGGCAAUGGGCGAAAGCCUGACCCAGCGACGCCGCGUGAAGGAAGAAGGUCUUCGGAUUGUAAACUUCUGUCAACAGGGAAGAAGCAAGUGACGGUACCUGUUAAGAAAGCCACGGCUAACUACGUGCC
rnacentral:rRNA from 1 species